rnacentral:rRNA from 1 species
UACGUAGGGGGCAAGCGUUGUCCGGAUUUAUUGGGCGUAAAGAGCGUGUAGGCGGCUUUACAGGUCCGUUGUGAAAACUCGAGGCUCAACCUCGAGACGCCGGUGGAAACCGUAAGGCUAGAGUCCGGAAGAGGAGAGUGGAAUUCCUGGUGUAGCGGUGAAAUGCGCAGAUAUCAGGAAGAACACCGGUGGCUAAGGCGGCUCUCUAGUACGGUACUGACGCUGAGACGCGAAAGCGUGGGGAGCGAACAGG